rnacentral:rRNA from 1 species
GACGAACGCUGGCGGCGUGCUUAACACAUGCAAGUCGAACGGAAAGGCCCUGCUUUUGUGGGGUGCUCGAGUGGCGAACGGGUGAGUAACACGUGAGUAACCUGCCCUUGACUUUGGGAUAACUUCAGGAAACUGGGGCUAAUACCGGAUAGGAGCUCCUGCUGCAUGGUGGGGGUUGGAAAGUUUCGGCGGUUGGGGAUGGACUCGCGGCUUAUCAGCUUGUUGGUGGGGUAGUGGCUUACCAAGGCUUUGAAGGGUAGCCGGCCUGAGAGGGUGACCGGCCACAAUGGGACUGAGAUACGGCCCAGACUCCUACGGGAGGCAGCAGUGGGAAAUAUUGCACAAUGAGCGGAAGCCUGAUGCAGCAACGCCGCGUGCGGGAUGACGGCCUUCGGGGUGUAAACCGCUUUCGCCUGUGACGAAGCGUGAGUGACGGUAAUGGGUAAAGAAGCACCGGCUAACUACGUG